rnacentral:rRNA from 1 species
CCCUUAGAUGUUCUGGGCCGCACGCGUGCUACACUGAUGCAUUCAACGAGUCUAAAACCUGGUCUGAUAGGGCUGGGUAAUCUUUUGAAAGUGCAUCGUGAUUGGGAUAGAUGAUUGCAAUUCUUCAUCUUCAACGAGGAAUUCCUAGUAAGCGCGAGUCAUCAGCUCGUGCUGAUUACGUCCCUGCCCUUUGUACACACCGCCCGUCGCUCCUACCGAUUGAGUGCUCAGGUGAAUAAUUCGGACUGCAGCAAUGUUUGGAUCCCGAACGUUGCAGCGGAAAGUUUAGUGAACCUUAUCACUUAGAGGAAGGAGAAGUCGUAACA